UACGAAGGGGGCGAGCGUUGUUCGGAUUUACUGGGCGUAAAGGGCGCGCAGGCGGCCUUAGUAGUCAGGCGUGAAAGCCCCGGGCUUAACCUGGGAAUUGCGUUUGAUACUCUAGGGCUGGAGUACGGGAGAGGAGAGUGGAAUUCCCAGUGUAGAGGUGAAAUUCGUAGAUAUUGGGAAGAACACCGGUGGCGAAGGCGGCUCUCUGGACCGUAACUGACGCUGAGGCGCGAAAGCGUGGGGAGCAAACAGG
rnacentral:rRNA from 1 species